rnacentral:rRNA from 1 species
UGGGGAAUUUUCCGCAAUGGUCGCAAGCCUGACGGAGCAACGCCGCGUGAGGGAGGAAGGCUUUUGGGUUGUAAACCUCUUUUCCCCAGGAAGAUAGUGACGGUACUUGAGGAAUCAGCAUCGGCUAACUCCGAGCCAGCAGCCGCGGUAAUACGGAGGAUGCAAGCGUUAUCCGGAAUAAUUGGGCGUAAAGCGUUCGUAGGUGGUUUUGUAAGUCUGCUGUUAAAGCGUGUAGCUCAACUACAUAUAGGCAGUGGAAACUACAAAACUUGAGUGCAUUCGGGGCAGAGGGAAUUCCUAGUGUAGCGGUGAAAUGCGUAGAGAUUAGGAAGAACACCGGUGGCGAAAGCGCUCUGCUAGGCCGCAACUGACACUGAGGGACGAAAGCUAGGGGAGCGAAUGGGAUUAGAUACCCCGGUAGUCC